UAUGAACCGUUAUAGCCGGCGAUGUCCGAAUGGGGAAACCCAGUGCAAUUCGUUGCACUAUCGUUAACUGAAUACAUAGGUUAACGAGGCGAACCGGGGGGAACUGAAACAUCUAAGUACCCCGAGGAAAAGAAAUCAACCGAGAUUCCCCCAGUAGCGGCGAGCGAACGGGGAGCAGCCCAGAGUCUGAAUCAGCUUGUGUGUUAGUGGAACGGUCUGGAAAGUCCGACGGUACAGGGUGAUAGUCCCGUACACCAAAAUGCACAGGCUGUGAACUCGAAGAGUAGGGCGGGACACGUGGUAUCCUGUCUGAAUAUGGG
rnacentral:rRNA from 1 species